ensembl:snoRNA
AUUCUUUUGUGUUCAUAAGCGUGAUGAUUGGGUGUUCACAUGAGACGUGUCACCCUCAAACCUUGUUGUGCUAUUUUUCUGCCUGCCU